rnacentral:tRNA from 1 species
UGGGGUGUAGCCAAGCGGUAAGGCAAUGGGUUUUGGUCCCAUGAUGCGCAGGUUCGAAUCCUGCCGCCCCAGCCA